GCGCCCUUAGCUCAGUGGAUAGAAGCAACAGCCUUCUAAGCUGUAGGUCGUAGGUUCGAAUCCUACAGGGCGUGCCA
rnacentral:tRNA from 1 species